rnacentral:rRNA from 1 species
GUGGGGAAUCUUGCGCAAUGGGCGAAAGCCUGACGCAGCCAUGCCGCGUGAAUGAUGAAGGUCUUAGGAUUGUAAAAUUCUUUCACCGGGGACGAUAAUGACGGUACCCGGAGAAGAAGCCCCGGCUAACUUCGUGCCAGCAGCCGCGGUAAUACGAAGGGGGCUAGCGUUGCUCGGAAUUACUGGGCGUAAAGGGCGCGUAGGCGGACAGUUUAGUCAGAGGUGAAAGCCCAGGGCUCAACCUUGGAAUUGCCUUUGAUACUGGCUGUCUUGAGUACGGGAGAGGUGAGUGGAACUCUGAGUGUAGAGGUGAAAUUCGUAGAUAUUCGGAAGAACACCAGUGGCGAAGGCGACUCACUGGCCCGUUACUGACGCUGAGGCGCGAAAGCGUGGGGAGCAAACAGGAUUAGAAACCCGAGUAGUCC